ensembl:lncRNA
GUUUAAGAGGGCAUGAAACUUUUAAAAUCUGGGGCACCUUUAACACAAUGAGCCUCACUGGUGCCAAGAUGAGGUGGAAGGACUGAUCAGAGGGGAAAAACCCCCCCCCAAAAGCAGCUACAGCAUCUGAAUGCAAGAUGAUUUGCCUACAACACAUUUACUUUUAUAGUGUAUUUAAAUGUUUAUACAUUAAUUUAUACAUUAAAACAAAAAGUUUAUUUACAGCUGAAUCAGUCAGCUGAUCCUUUAUUCAUUAAAAAAAAAAAAAAAAAAAAAAAAAAAAAAAAAAAAAAAAAACCCACACGAACUAGUCAAAUGAGCUUAACUCAACUGUGAAAUGAUUGAGUUCAGCUAGUUCAGAGAGUGCUGAAUGUUCCAGAUUUCUAUAGUAUGUACACAGUUUUAACCAAAAAAAACAAAACACAAAUCUAAAGUUCCCUCUCAGAUAAAUCAUAAACAUGCACCUUUUCAAAGUCUGUGUUCCCUACAGUUAUAUUAUAUAAGCCUGCCCACUGGGUCACCAGCCCCGACACUCCUACUGCCCGUCCCAAGCCAGAUAACUCACACCAAGUUACAUUUUUAGGUGAGCCCCAAAUGGCGCAACUGAAACAAGACAAUUUUUGUUAUCUGAAAAAAAAAAAAAAAAAGACUUACUAACAAAUGAUCAUCCUUGUUCAGACAGUUCACAUGCUAGAAAGCAGUAAUACCGGCGGGCCCUGCGUUUAAUCAGAGCGUGCAGCAGGCGUAGCAAAAGUUCACAUUGAGCUACGCUGCACCCACUAAAGCUGCAAGAGGCUUAAAGAAGGGGCGGCUGAUUACUACCAAUUGCAAACAAAGUAAUUGGGAAUUAAAUAUUUUUAGAGAGAGGCAGGUUACAAACAAUAUUAUUUAAUAAUUCCUCAACCGAGGACCAAGUAGUUGUAGAUUUUAAUAGAUCUGAAGACAAUCAUCAAUGGAGUUCUUCUUGCAGACACUAAUGGUUUAACUGCUGCUCCAGCUGAUCCCACCACCAUUCCAAUUACUGCACAACUGAACGACUCUGGAUAUUAAACACCACCUAUGAAUAAUGCAUGCAUGUCAGCUGCGCUCUGCACCAUUUACAGACCUCCACCUAUCAAGCAUCAGCAUCCCUUACUUUUUUGGGUUUUUUUUUAAAAUUCACACACAAGACAAAGCAGGCCUUAAUGAGUUAAACAUGCUGUGGGCACAUAUGGGCUGAGAUGCUGCAUGUGUGGACACAAUAGAGAUGGUAAUGAAAUCUUGGAUUAGCCCUCAUUUAUUUAGGAUAUAGCUUACAGGAAGGGGAUGAGGGGCUUCAGGGAGCCUUGGCAGGUCCAAAACAUGAGGCCUGAUGCCAAAGAUCAAGCAGAUGGUGAUUAUGAAGAUAGCUGGAAAUGAGGUUGCUGCUCAUGUGUGCACUCAAUUAUCAAGAGCAGGCCAACGACAGCCAUGUCUGAAACAAAGUGAGCCACUGUAUUGUUGUCAAUCUGGAGACAGAUUACAGUCUAGAUGAGAGCACAGUGCCAAGGGAAUCAAAUUUAAUAAAAAAAAAAAGAAAAAGAAAAAAGUAGUCAACAAGUUCAACAAAACCAGCCUAUAAGGUGUAAAUACAACAAAAUAAAACCAGUACCAAAAAGGGAAGAUUCAUUCAUAACACACGGGAAAAGCUCCAGGGAAACGGAGUUAAUGAUAAAAACAAUUUUAAAAAAAAUAAAUAAAUUGUUUUUAUUGUUUAAAACCAAUAAAAACCCUGAAAACCAUAAAUUUCACACCUGAGCCUCAACUCUUACGGUCCGGUACCAAACGACUCACGGACCGGUUGGGGACCUCUGUUCUAGAGGACUUCAAAAACCAGCCAUUUAAUUGUGGAUUACCGGUAGCAAUUUUUCAGCAAAGAAACCUGUGAACACACCACUCAUAUACUUCAAACAUUUGAAUAUUUACACAUUUAUCAAACAUAAAUCAACAUUAGAAAUUAUCUGGAUUUGUGUUUGAGACCACCUUGCAAACAAAUGUAGUCAUCAGUCUCCUUUUUGCUUCCUUUUGGUCUCCUCCAGCAGCGUAUACCAGAGCUUAGAUUAUGGUAGGGGUGGGGCAUAUCACAUUUUCCAUAAUAAUGAUAAACACAGAUAUGAAUUUUUAUGAGAUAGAAAAGUGUUCCAUUUCGUUAUCAGUGACACCGUGCAUUUAUGUUUUCUUAGCACACCCAGCUACAAGAUAAGCCCAGGAACGUCUGACAGCGAGAGCUACAGGUCAGCCUCGGAUGGUGUGGACUUGUCACAACCUAAAAAAAGAACCAAAAAAACAAACAAACAAACAAACAAAAAAAAAAAAAAAAAAAACAAAAAAAAAAAACCCCAAACUCAGCAUUAGCGCUGGUAUAAGAAUAUGGUAAGCCGAACCAUAAUAACGAUGUGAUUAAUGGUAAGCCUAAUGGUAAUGCCCCCAAUGAUUGUGAAAAAAACAAAAUUGAAAUAAAACUAUUACUUUUUUCCCCUUCAUUAACGUGGUGCACCAAUGACGACAACUAUACAGACUUCAGCUAACAAGAACAGUAAUGGUUUCAACAAGUCCAACAAGGAGCAAAAAAAUAGAAGCCCUUUGUUUGUUUGUUUUAAACAAGCACUACAUUAACAGUUGGAUUGCGUGGCUCAACUUUCAGAUGCUGGAUAAAGUCCAGCCUGAUAACAGGAUUUCAUCUGGGCAUCUAAGAAUAGCAGCAGUGUGAAUAGAGCUAAACAUGGCACAACAAGUACAUUAACCUGAUCACUGAUGCUAAUCCUAAUGAUCGAAG